AUACGGAGGGAGCAAGCGUUGUUCGGAAUCACUGGGCGUAAAGCGAGUGUAGGUUGUCAGGUAAGUAGGAUGUGAAAGCCCGGGGCUCAACCCCGGAAUUGCAUUCUAAACUGCCUGGCUAGAGUCCCGGAGAGGGAGGUGGAAUCCCGAGUGUAGAGGUGAAAUUCGUAGAUAUUAGGAGGAACACCAGAGGCGAAGGCGACCUCCUGGACGGUGACUGACACUGAGACUCGAAAGCGUGGGGAGCAAACAGGAUUAGAAACCCCAGUAGUCC
rnacentral:rRNA from 1 species